AAUAUUGUUAGAAAAAUGGACAAUUUGCUUUUGUCUUAAAGCUUGCUUGAAAAUACUAGUUUUGCCCAAGGCUGACCUGUGUUUAUUUUUAGAAGCUAUUGUGUAUGAGGUUUUACUGGACAGUUAUUUUGUUUUCAAAUCUUAAGCCUAUGCAUUAGAAGCACUGAAUAGUAGGAACUGAUUCAUUUUAGACAAAAAAAAAAAAAAUCCAGAAGCAUGAACUAUUUCAUCAUUGUUACCCUUGAUGGGCCUGGAAAUUAGAACUUUGCUGGAGUCCCUUCGUGAUAGAUGCUGAUUAUCAUCUGAGGAAACUAUUUAAUAUCAACAUAAGAUAUACAACCUAUUAUAAGGAGGGGAGGUCUUUUUUUCCAGCAUUCUGUCUUGGAACUAUCAUGUGCUUUCCUGGUUGUUUAAAAGAUAUGGAAACAAAUUCGUUCGUAUCAGGAAAUUGUCAUAAUUUCAGUGACUGAUCUAUACAUCCCCCUUCUUUCACUAUUUUACACAAUCCACAUUAAAAGAUCAUCUCUGAAAUACUGAACAUCUCUGUGGAGAGCUUAAUUACUGCUUCUGGAUCACUGGAAUUCUUAUAAAUAAGUUCACCUACUGAAGCAAUGAGUAUCUUUUUAGCUUAGGACUCUCUACUACCAAAAAGUGGUUUCUUUCAGCUUAUGACAAACUGAGCUGUUCUUAUCAGUAGCUGUUUGCCAACAGCUCUAGGAGGUGGCACAAACAGUUGAAGAACACAGCAAUAUUGAUUGCAAAAGCAAAGUGCGUCCCAAAGUUUUCACAGCCUUCUUUUUUAUUCCGACCUACAUAACUGGGAAGCAAAGUUUCAUACUCACAGUGCAGGGGGAGGAAGGCAGAAGGAGCACAGUUAUGGAGACUUGCAGCAGCUGCCUGCUCCUCCAAGUCCGGUUGAGGGGAGAGGAGCCUGGCAGAACUCAUUCGGCUCACAAACUGUGUGAGCUGUGCAUGUGCACCAAAGAAAGUCUUUCUCCAAGAGGGUUCAAAGCUUGAAGCUGACCACUGCAAAGGCCACUUGUCACAUUUACUGAAAAUCAGCCUAUUGAUAUCACAGCUGAAAAUAUAAACUCGACAACCAAAGCCCAUUGCACAACGUGGACUGCGUAAGAGUUAAAAAUAGAUUUGACGUGCCUCCUACCUGCAUAAUAAAUAUUCCAUCAAAAUCCUGAGCAGUAUUGACAAACCACACGAGCACAGGGUCUGACUGCAUGAUCAGCUGUCUGUGUCUACGCUACACCCUGUUAACCACAAGCAGUGUUAGAGCUAAAUAUAUCUGCAAUGCAGAAACAGUAGGUGCUAUGUGGUAUACAAUUCUGAUUCAUUAUAAAAUAUUUUUCUAUCCUCAGAUAUAAUAAAUAAAAGAAAAUUUGGUGCUGAUCUCUGUCAGGCACGAUAUCUGUCAGACUUACAAAACAUAAAAGCUAUCCUAAGUAUACUGACCUAGAUAGCACUAAGAAGACUUAAGCAGCGUACAAGCAUACUCACUGUCAAAGCAAGGAAAACGAAACAAUGAUUGUCUAAUCAAACUGAAAGCAACAACUCACUACCACAGUAUGAAUUCCAAAAUGCUACGUACUGUACAUGCACAUCUCAUGUUAUUGGAAGAUGCAAAGCUCCUUUGUUUUUUUUUUUUUCUCGGAGGCUUUUCUUAGCUACGGUUGCACAAUGACAUUCUGACAUCAUGGAGGUCAAUGCAGAUACUAAAGUGCUGUCGUCUUUAAGAAAAAAAUAAUUUUGAAAUAUUAAACCACAGCUGCAAAAAUAAUUAUAAUUAAAAAUUUCCCAUCACCUACUUAACAUCUUUCUGUUACCUUCCGAGAUUAAUAGCAUGCACAUUGUUCAGCCGCAUACGUUAAAUUGGUAUCACCCUCUGCAGAGACUGCAAGACUAAUUGUGGGAAUUAGGUUUUUAUAAAUGUUAAAAAAG